GACGAACGCUGGCGGCGUGCUUAACACAUGCAAGUCGAACGGAAAGGCCCUGCUUUUGUGGGGUGCUCGAGUGGCGAACGGGUGAGUAACACGUGAGUAACCUGCCCUUGACUUUGGGAUAACUUCAGGAAACUGGGGCUAAUACCGGAUAGGAGCUCCUGCUGCAUGGUGGGGGUUGGAAAGUUUCGGCGGUUGGGGAUGGACUCGCGGCUUAUCAGCUUGUUGGUGGGGUAGUGGCUUACCAAGGCUUUGACGGGUAGCCGGCCUGAGAGGGUGACCGGCCACAUUGGGACUGAGAUACGGCCCAGACUCCUACGGGAGGCAGCAGUGGGGAAUAUGGCACAAUGGGCGGAAGCCUGACGCAGCAACGCCGCGUGCGGGAUGACGGCCUUCGGGUUGUAAACCGCUUUCGCCUGUGACGAAGCGUGAGUGACGGUAAUGGGUAAAGAAGCACCGGCUAACUACGU
rnacentral:rRNA from 1 species